rnacentral:rRNA from 1 species
ACACGUGGGCAACCUGCCUGUAAGUUGGGGAUAACUCCGGGAAACCGGGGCUAAUACCGAAUGAUAAGAUGUGGCGCAUGCCACGCCUUUGAAAGAUGGUUUCGGCUAUCGCUUACAGAUGGGCCCGCGGUGCAUUAGCUAGUUGGUAGGGUAAUGGCCUACCAAGGCAACGAUGCAUAGCCGACCUGAGAGGGUGAUUGGCCACACUGGGACUGAGACACGGCCCAGACUCCUACGGGAGGCAGCAGUAGGGAAUCUUCCGCAAUGGACGAAAGUCUGACGGAGCAACGCCGCGUGUAUGAAGAAGGUUUUCGGAUCGUAAAGUACUGUUGUUAGAGAAGAACAAGGAUAAGAGUAACUGCUUGUCCCUUGACGGUAUCUCACCAGAAAGCCACGGCUAACUACGUGCCAGCAGCCGCGGUAAUACGUAGGUGGCAAGCGUUGUCCGGAUUUAUUGGGCGUAAAGCGCGCGCAGGCGGUCUUAUAAGUCUGAUGUGAAAGCCCCCGGCUUAACCGGGGAGGGUCAUUGGAAACUGGAAGACUGGAGUGCAGAAGAGGAGAGUGGAAUUCCACGUGUAGCGGUGAAAUGCGUA